rnacentral:rRNA from 1 species
AGAGUUUGAUCCUGGCUCAGAUUGAACGCUGGCGGCAUGCCUUACACAUGCAAGUCGAACGGUAACGCGGGGCAACCUGGCGACGAGUGGCGAACGGGUGAGUAAUGCAUCGGAACGUGCCCAGUAGUGGGGGAUAGCCCGGCGAAAGCCGGAUUAAUACCGCAUACGACCUAUGGGUAAAGGCGGGGGACUCGCAAGAGCCUCGCACUAUUGGAGCGGCCGAUGUCAGAUUAGCUAGUUGGUGGGGUAAAGGCCUACCAAGGCGACGAUCUGUAGCUGGUCCGAGAGGACGACCAGCCACACUGGGGCUGAGACACGGCCCAGACUCCUACGGGAGGCAGCAGUGGGGAAUUUUGGACAAUGGGCGCAAGCCUGAUCCAGCCAUGCCGCGUGCGGGAAGAAGGCCUUCGGGUUGUAAACCGCUUUUGUCAGGGAAGAAACGCUCUGGGCUAAUACCCCGGGGUAAUGACGGUACCUGAAGAAUAAGCACCGGCUAACUACGUGCCAGCAGCCGCGGUAAUACGUAGGGUGCAAGCGUUAAUCGGAAUUACUGGGCGUAAAGCGUGCGCAGGCGGUUAUGCAAGACAGAUGUGAAAUCCCCGGGCUCAACCUGGGAACUGCAUUUGUGACUGUAUAGCUAGAGUACGGUAGAGGGGGAUGGAAUUCCGCGUGUAGCAGUGAAAUGCGUAGAUAUGCGGAGGAACACCGAUGGCGAAGGCAAUCCCCUGGACCUGUACUGACGCUCAUGCACGAAAGCGUGGGGAGCAAACAGGAUUAGAUACCCUGGUAGUCCACGCCCUAAACGAUGUCAACUGGUUGUUGGACGGCUUGCUGUUCAGUAACGAAGCUAACGCGUGAAGUUGACCGCCUGGGGAGUACGGCCGCAAGGUUGAAACUCAAAGGAAUUGACGGGGACCCGCACAAGCGGUGGAUGAUGUGGUUUAAUUCGAUGCAACGCGAAAAACCUUACCUACCCUUGUCAUGUCAAGAAUCUUGCAGAGAUGUGAGAGUGCUCGAAAGAGAACUUGAACACAGGUGCUGCAUGGCCGUCGUCAGCUCGUGUCGUGAGAUGUUGGGUUAAGUCCCGCAACGAGCGCAACCCUUGUCAUUAGUUGCUACGAAAGGGCACUCUAAUGAGACUGCCGGUGACAAACCGGAGGAAGGUGGGGAUGACGUCAGGUCCUCAUGGCCCUUAUGGGUAGGGCUACACACGUCAUACAAUGGCCGGUACAGAGGGUUGCCAACCCGCGAGGGGGAGCCAAUCCCAGAAAACCGGUCGUAGUCCGGAUCGCAGUCUGCAACUCGACUGCGUGAAGUCGGAAUCGCUAGUAAUCGCGGAUCAGCUUGCCGCGGUGAAUACGUUCCCGGGUCUUGUACACACCGCCCGUCACACCAUGGGAGCGGGUCCUGCCAGAAGUAGUUAGCCUAACCGCAAGGAGGGCGAUUACCACGGCAGGGUCCGUGACUGGGGUGAAGUCGUAACAAGGUA